UACGUAGGGGGCAAGCGUUGUCCGGAAUUAUUGGGCGUAAAGAGCGUGUAGGCGGUCCGGUAAGUCAGCUGUGAAAGUCAAGGGCUCAACCCUUGAAUGCCGGUUGAUACUGUCGGGCUAGAGUCCGGAAGAGGCGAGUGGAAUUCCCGGUGUAGCGGUGAGAUGCGCAGAUAUCGGGAGGAACACCAAUGGCGAAGGCAGCUCGCUGGGACGGUACUGACGCUGAGACGCGAAAGCGUGGGGAGCAAACAGG
rnacentral:rRNA from 1 species